rnacentral:lncRNA from 1 species
CCGACUCUAACACAAACCAACAGAACUAGAAUUGAUUAGAUCAAUUUCAAAGUUUGAUGUAAAGGCAUCCUUGAGUAGAUAUGGUAAAGUACUGUAUUAGCCAAACAGAUACUUCAGUUUCUAGAUUCGGGAUAGAGAUUUGAUCUUCCAUACAGAUGCAAUACAAAGAUCUAACUUUAAGAAGUGGUUUGGAGCUAAUAAAUCUAAAAUGAAAUCCAUG